CUACGGGUUGCUCCAGUGAGGAAUUUUGCGCAAUGGGGGAAACCCUGACGCAGCAACGCCGCGUGAGUGAAGAAGGCUUUCGGGUCGUAAAGCUCUGUCAAGUGGGAAAAAACGCCUUCGAUUAAUAGUCGGAGGAAUUGAUGGUACCACUAAAGGAAGCACCGGCUAACUCCGUGCCAGCAGCCGCGGUAAUACGGAGGUGCAAGCGUUGUUCGGAAUUACUGGGCGUAAAGCGCGUGCAGGCGGUUUGGUAAGUCAGGCGUGAAAGCCCCGGGCUCAACCCGGGAAGUGCGUUUGAAACUACCAUACUUGAGUAUGGGAGAGGAGAGUGGAAUUCCCAGUGUAGAGGUGAAAUUCGUAGAUAUUGGGAGGAACAUCCGUGGCGAAGGCGACUCUCUGGACCAAUACUGACGCUGAGACGCGAAAGCGUGGGGAGCAAACAGGAUUAGAUACCCCCGUAGUC
rnacentral:rRNA from 1 species